rnacentral:rRNA from 1 species
AGCUCCAGUAGCGUAUAUUAAAGCUGUUGCGGUUAAAAAGCUCGUAGUUGGAUAUCAGUGCGUGUCCGGUCCGGUAUGCCUGGCGGCGCUGCUCACGUGGCACUGCUGGGCUCCCAAAUAUCGGCUGGCCGCAUUCAAUCGUGCCGGAUCCGUCGACGGGCCGCUCUUCCGAGGGGCCUGUUGGCGACCGGCGACGUUACCUUGAACAAAUUAGAGUGCUCAAAGCAGGCUCUGAAUGCCUGUAUACAUAUUCAUGGAAUUGGAGAAUACGUCCCUGGCUCGAUUUGGUUGGUUUUGAGAGUCGAAGGGAAAUGAUUAAUAGGGACUGACGGAGGCAUUCGUAUUGCGACGCGAGGGGUGAAAUCCUGUGACCGUCGCACGACGAACUACUGCGAAAGCAUUUGCCGAGAAUGUUU